CCUGGCUCAGGAUGAACGCUAGCUACAGGCUUAACACAUGCAAGUCGAGGGGCAGCAUUUCAGUUUGCUUGCAAACUGGAGAUGGCGACCGGCGCACGGGUGAGUAACACGUAUCCAACCUGCCGAUAACUCGGGGAUAGCCUUUCGAAAGAAAGAUUAAUACCCGAUGGCAUAAUUAGACCGCAUGGUCUUAUUAUUAAAGAAUUUCGGUUAUCGAUGGGGAUGCGUUCCAUUAGGCAGUUGGUGAGGUAACGGCUCACCAAACCUUCGAUGGAUAGGGGUUCUGAGAGGAAGGUCCCCCACAUUGGAACUGAGACACGGUCCAAACUCCUACGGGAGGCAGCAGUGAGGAAUAUUGGUCAAUGGGCGCAGGCCUGAACCAGCCAAGUAGCGUGAAGGAUGACUGCCCUAUGGGUUGUAAACUUCUUUUAUAUGGGAAUAAAGUUUUCCACGUGUGGAAUUUUGUAUGUACCAUAUGAAUAAGGAUCGGCUAACUCCGUGCCAGCAGCCGCGGUAAUACGGAGGAUCCGAGCGUUAUCCGGAUUUAUUGGGUUUAAAGGGAGCGUAGGUGGAUAGUUAAGUCAGUUGUGAAAGUUUGCGGCUCAACCGUAAAAUUGCAGUUGAUACUGGCUGUCUUGAGUACAGUAGAGGUGGGCGGAAUUCGUGGUGUAGCGGUGAAAUGCUUAGAUAUCACGAAGAACUCCGAUUGCGAAGGCAGCUCACUGGACUGCAACUGACACUGAUGCUCGAAAGUGUGGGUAUCAAACAGGAUUAGAUACCCUGGUAGUCCACACAGUAAACGAUGAAUACUCGCUGUUUGCGAUAUACAGUAAGCGGCCAAGCGAAAGCAUUAAGUAUUCCACCUGGGGAGUACGCCGGCAACGGUGAAACUCAAAGGAAUUGACGGGGGCCCGCACAAGCGGAGGAACAUGUGGUUUAAUUCGAUGAUACGCGAGGAACCUUACCCGGGCUUAAAUUGCAUUUGAAUAAUCUGGAAACAGGUUAGCCGUAAGGCAAAUGUGAAGGUGCUGCAUGGUUGUCGUCAGCUCGUGCCGUGAGGUGUCGGCUUAAGUGCCAUAACGAGCGCAACCCUUAUCUUUAGUUACUAACAGGUUAUGCUGAGGACUCUAGAGAGACUGCCGUCGUAAGAUGUGAGGAAGGUGGGGAUGGCGUCAAAUCAGCACGGCCCUUACGUCCGGGGCUACACACGUGUUACAAUGGGGGGUACAGAAGGCAGCUACCUGGUGACAGGAUGCUAAUCCCAAAAGCCUCUCUCAGUUCGGAUCGAAGUCUGCAACCCGACUUCGUGAAGCUGGAUUCGCUAGUAAUCGCGCAUCAGCCAUGGCGCGGUGAAUACGUUCCCGGGCCUUGUACACACCGCCCG
rnacentral:rRNA from 1 species